UUCUUUCUGCUGCCAAUCCAGCACUUUACAUUCUAAAGAAGAACACCAAUUUCUAAGAAAAGCCAGAGAACCAACUAACUAAAGAUAUCCUGUUUUCCUUUGUAAGUGAUUUUUAAUCCUGUCUGGAACAAAGUGGGCACACAUAUAUACAUGCAUGCAUAACAUGCUUUGGCUAAUGAAUUCUGGUAGAAAACUUUUCUCACUUAUUUUCCAUCAGUCAAGAUACAAUCGUGCUCAUUAAAUUUGAUGUAAGAAAUUGAUUUUGUGGGAAAGUUUGUUUUUCUUUUUGUUGUUUUCACCCUUUAGUGGGCAGAUCUUUGGAAAAGACCUGGAGAGGAGCAGCAGGCAGAGGUGGCUCCUUAAAAAACAGAGCAGCACUUGACCACCAUUGCCUCUCAGGCCUCCCACUGAUCCCAUUAGAGAACAUGCAGAGAGAAAUGAGGCAGGAAGAACUGGCUCACAUGUUGCUGGAUAAUGUCUCUUGAGAAGGCCCUGGACUGCUGAGACCUCUCCCAUUGCCCAGUCUAUAGUCAGAGAGGCCCCAGUAUCCCCAUGCCGCCUACCAAAAUCUCUCUGCAUUGCAACAUUAACUUGUGCCCCAGUGCUUGCCCCCGCUAAACUUCUUGGAAGUCUUCAUCUGACAGUCUUGUGUCUUCACAGUGUUGCUAUGGAGUGAGGAUUUAAU
rnacentral:lncRNA from 1 species